rnacentral:rRNA from 1 species
AUGGUUCAUUGUGAUGUUCCGGUUGAUAGCAGGAAAUUGUGGAAGCUUAAAACCCCUCUAAGAGUGAAGAUAUUCCUCUGGUUCCUAAACAAAGAAGUCAUCUUAACUAGAGAUAAUCUGGCACGACGCAACUGGCAAGGCACCAGGUGUGUCUUUUGCCAACAUGACGAGUCUAUUAAGCACUUUUUUUAG